AUCCAGCUGAAGAGUCAGAAAUAGGAUGAAACGCGCUUCCUGGAU
rfam:Schistosoma rodhaini strain Burundi genome assembly, scaffold: SROB_scaffold0002299